ACCUGGCGGGCUCAGUUGGUGGAGUGUGUGACUCUUGACCUUGGGGUUGUGGGUUUGAGUCCCACGUUGGGUG
rnacentral:tRNA from 1 species